GUCAGUAUGGCCGAGUGGUUAAGGCGCCAGAUUUGAAAUCUGUUACGAGUAAUCGUGCGUAGGUUCAAAUCCUGCUGCUGACG
rnacentral:tRNA from 1 species